CACCAUGGGCGAAGUAUGUGGUUCGUGAAGGUGAUAAUGUGAAUUAUGAUUGGAUACACUGGGAUCCAGAACACUCAUAUGAAUUUCAGCAUUCCAGACCAAAGAAGCCACGGAGUCUAAGAAUUUAUGAAUCUCAUGUGGGAAUUUCUUCCCAUGAAGGAAAAGUAGCUUCUUAUAAACAUUUUACAUGCAAUGUACUACCAAGAAUCAAAGGCCUUGAUUUGACCAUUGCCUUAUAUAGGGUACAACUGCAUUCAGUUGAUGGCAAUCAUGGAGCAUGCUUACUAUGCCAGCUUUGGUUACCAAAUCACAAGCUUCUUUGCAGCUUCCAGCCGUUAUGGAACACCUGAAGAGCUACAAGAACUGGUAGACACAGCUCAUUCCAUGGGUAUCAUAGUCCUCUUAGAUGUAGUACACAGCCAUGCUUCAAAAAAUUCAGCAGAUGGAUUGAAUAUGUUUGAUGGGACAGAUUCCUGUUAUUUUCAUUCCGGACCUAGAGGGACUCAUGAUCUUUGGGAUAGCAGAUUGUUUGCCUACUCCAGGUAGGUACAUACAAUAUAGAAAUGUUUUCUAUUGUUGCUGUUUAAGAUUGAUUUUUAAGAAUUUCACUAAAUUCAUUGUGUGUGUACUCUCUCACUGGUACUUAAUGUUCUUAAUUGGAUUUAUUUUUGUUGUACAGUGGAUUUUACCUUGUUUUGUAUAGCACAUGUAUUUGUGGUAUAUUUCAUUAAGUUUCAGUUUUACAUAUCUUA
rnacentral:sRNA from 1 species